UACGUAGGGUCCGAGCGUUGUCCGGAAUUAUUGGGCGUAAAGAGCUCGUAGGCGGUUUGUCGCGUCUGCUGUGAAAUCCCGAGGCUCAACCUCGGGUCUGCAGUGGGUACGGGCAGACUGGAGUGCGGUAGGGGAGAAUGGAAUUCCUGGUGUAGCGGUGGAAUGCGCAGAUAUCAGGAGGAACACCGGUGGCGAAGGCGGGUCUCUGGGCCGUAACUGACGCUGAGGAGCGAAAGCAUGGGUAGCGAACAGG
rnacentral:rRNA from 1 species